rnacentral:rRNA from 1 species
AUUGAACGCUGGCGGCAUGCUUUACACAUGCAAGUCGAACGGCAGCGCGGGGCAACCUGGCGGCGAGUGGCGAACGGGUGAGUAAUAUAUCGGAACGUACCCAGACGUGGGGGAUAACGUAGCGUAAGUUACGCUAAUACCGCAUACGAUCUACGGAUGAAAGUAGGGGACCGCAAGGCCUUAUGCUUUUGGAGCGGCCGAUACCUGAUUAGCUAGUUGGUGAGGUAAAGGCUCACCAAGGCGACGAUCAGUAGCUGGUCUGAGAGGACGACCAGCCACACUGGAACUGAGACACGGUCCAGACUCCUACGGGAGGCAGCAGUGGGGAAUUUUGGACAAUGGGCGCAAGCCUGAUCCAGCAAUGCCGCGUGAGUGAAGAAGGCCUUCGGGUUGUAAAGCUCUUUUGUCAGGGAAGAAACGGUAGAGGCUAAUAUCCUUUGCUAAUGACGGUACCUGAAGAAUAAGCACCGGCUAACUACGU